rnacentral:rRNA from 1 species
UACGUAGGGGGCUAGCGUUGUCCGGAAUCAUUGGGCGUAAAGAGCGUGUAGGCGGCUCGGUAAGUCCGCUGUGAAAGUCCAGGGCUCAACCCUGGAAUGCCAGUGGAAACUGUCGAGCUAGAGUCCGGAAGAGGCGAGUGGAAUUCCUGGUGUAGCGGUGAAAUGCGCAGAUAUCAGGAGGAACACCAAUGGCGAAGGCAGCUCGCUGGGACGGUACUGACGCUGAGACGCGAAAGCGUCGGGAGCAAACAGG